GUUACUGGUCUGGGUACCAUAGAUGGCAAGAGUUACGUGUUCAUCGGCCAGCAGAAAGGCAGGAACACCAAAGAGAACAUUCAGCGCAACUUUGGAAUGCCAACUCCACAUGGCUAUCGGAAGGCAUUGCGGAUGAUGAGGUAUGCUGAUCACCAUGGGUUUCCCAUAAUCACAUUUAUUGACACACCUGGUGCAUAUGCGGAUCUCAAAUCAGAAGAACUUGGUCAAGGUGAAGCAAUUGCCUACAACUUGAGGGCUAUGUUUGGUCUAAAGGUCCCAAUUGUCACUGUUGUCAUCGGUGAAGGUGGAUCUGGUGGGGC
rnacentral:misc_RNA from 1 species